ACCCGCUGAAUUUAAGCAUAUAAGUAAGUGGUGGAAAUUAAACCAAAUGGGAUUCCUUAAGUAAUUGCGAAUGAACAAGGACAUGCUUAGCUUGACAAUUGGAGCCUCUGGCUUCGACUUGUAUUUUUGAAAUGUAUUACCAACAGAGGUGCAGGUGUCAGCCUAUUGAAAGAAAGCGUCAAUGAGGGUGAGAAUCCUGUUUGUCAUGUGCAAUCCUCUGUGCACGGUGUAUGUUUGCUGAGUCACACUCCUUGGCAUUGGAAUGCAAAGUGGGUGGUAAGUUUCAUGUAAAGGUAAAUAUAGGAUUGAGACUGAUAGCACACAAGUACCAUGAGGGAAAUAUGAAAAGGACUUUGAAAAGAGAAUUAAAUGAGUUUGUAUUUGCUGAACAGAAAAUAAACAGAUUUGAUGUUGCUUGGUGAGAUUGUGGUGCUUGCUUGACAAUAGGUUUUGAUUGUGGGUGUGAUGAUUCUUGCUUUGCUUGCCAGUUUCUAUUUGUACAUUUGAUUACCCUUGCACAUGAAUGGUAAUUUUCCUGCGGGGUUUGGAUUGCAUGUGUUUGUGAUGAUUUGUGUUUUGAUACAUGUGUCUGGUGCUUUUGUAAUUGCUCAUUUCUUGAAGCUGGGCCUACCCUACUAGAGCUUACAAGCCCUGGCACACAAUUGCUGGCAAAAUGCUUCUGCUUGACCCGUCUUGAAACACGGACCAAGGAGUCUAACAGAUGUGCAAGCUUGAGGGUUGCAUACCUUUGUGCGCAAUGAAAGUGUUGGCUGGGAUAUUUGCACCAGCAGCCGACCAAUUAGCAGACAGAGGUUCGAGUUGGAGCAUAUCUAUUAGGACCCGAAAGAUGGUGAACUAUGCCUGAACAGAAUGAAUUCAGAGGAAACUCUGAUGGAGGUUCGUAUCGAUACUGACGUGCAAAUCGUUCGUCAUAUUUGGGUAUAGGGGCGAAAGACUAAUCGAACCAUCUAGUAGCUGGUUCCCUCCGA
rnacentral:rRNA from 1 species